GUGCACACUGUAGUAUUGCAACUACCAGCGGUAGCUGUUGUUUUGGCCGUGUCAAGAGACCCUGUUUCCGUCUGUUUUGGCUGUCUCAAAUGUGAAACAAAGGUGCAGUUUCACAAUUCAGGAGAGCGCAGGAAUGGGUUUGGAGAGACCGAAGUAGGGGUUUCGAUGAAGACGAGGGUAAACAUAUAUGUAAGGAGCGUCUUGUACGUUAGCGUUGGUUGCAGUGUUGUCGACAGCCACCCGUUGAGACCAAUGGCUACACCGUCGGCACACAUACACGGUAUGAGUAUGGGUGGGCGCUCACUCUUCAAAGGCAUACAUCCUACAGAACUUUGCCGAGGUGAAAAGGAGCACGAGAUGACGAGACGUCGUGAAGAGGGGGAAAAGAAGAGACUCAGCAACAGACCGUCAUGACAUCAAACAAUCGGCCAUUCACGAGUUCUUUACAAAACGGUUCUUUACAAACGGUUCUUUGCAAACGGUUCUUUACAGCACGAGUUCUUUACGACACGAGUUCUUUACAACACGAGUUCUUUACGACACUCGAACUACGUAUUGUGCAUACUGAAGUCCCACUUCCCAGUCCAAAGGUUCCUUUUCUUCGUCUGUUUCAGGUGUAUGCUUGCAGCCAGUGGAAGGAGGUGACCCUUGGAACGGACUCCUUGUACGUACUGUACUUGUACUCGUACUUGCCGUCUCGACUUCUCCACAUCAAUUGACUCCGAAUUUUCUAUCUACGACACCAUUGCAACACCAAUUGAAACACAUUCGACUGUAUCAAUGUUGCACUGAAGCAACGUCGACAAAGUGCAGCUACAUUGCUACAACUAGUCGAGAGGGAGAUGAUAGAAUGAUUCAACAUUGGUUUCAACCGAUCGGUGGUUCUGAUGACAGAUCAUCGAUUCCGAUGACAGAUCAUUUGUUCCGAUGACAGAUGACUGGUUCUGAUGCCAGAUGAACAUUCUCUCACACUACCAGGACGUUCACUCGUUUCCUCUGCACUUCUCCGAAGUACUCUCGGUGGGUCAUCGACAAGUGGGGAUUUCUCUAUCUCAUCGGAUCACGUCCUCGGUUCCCACUCUCCACUCGGUUGGUCGGUUCUUCUCCAGUCCCCACUAACGUACAAUAUGCAUCUCUCGCGCAUUUGCCGAGGUACUCGACGCGGCGCAAAGAGACCUCAACCACGACAAGAAUCGGUUUCUUUUGUGCACAAACAGCAUAUUCGAUGUGCCGCAUCAUAUUCACGACAUUCGCCAUCUCCUCUGCUUCAACAUCUCCAGCAAAACGUGAGUUUACAACAUCAUACCAAGACUUUGGCACUGCGGCUGGCCUCCGAUUCCAGCAUGGGGGGCAUCAAGUGAGUUUUGUGCGACAGUUACAUGAUGGCCGAUUUGAGUCAUGGCACUAGCUCGUUGGUGGACCAGUACGGGCUUACAGUACUCAUGCUGGACUUGAGCAUAAGUCGUGUCAUACAAGAGACCUACUUUCAGCUUAGGCCGACGACUCAAGUGCUUUCGAGUUACCGAUCCCGGUUCUUGUUGCCCAUGAGAUCGUAGGGGGAUCUUAAGAGGGAUCUUUUUGGGACUUCACUUAAUCAAGAGGAAGUCGUAAAGUGCUUCCCUGUGUACUGGUUUUCACAGUGAGCAGGCUCUCCCAACUACUACUGUUACAGUAGCGCGAUGGCGUCUUAUGGAUAUCAUCAAACCACCAACCUACAGUCUACUACACCUUGUAGUUGGAGCAAUGCCAACCAUUCACUCAGACAGCCUCUCUGAACGGACCUUGAGCAACUCUGAGCAUCCACCACUUGGUGGACAUUGGUUCUCUCCUCAGCUUGCUGUCCUCCAACUGUUCAGCAAUUGCGAGUAACUACAGCUCUGGUCGCUUCAAUGUCAAUCAACGCUCCUCACACGCGAUACCUCCAUUAAUUCCGUAUCAUAAUCCUUGAUAUCAAGUCAUUAACCAUCGAUACCCACUGCGAUAACAAUAAUACCCGACCUUUCACCAAUUCAAUUCUGUACUUCGACUCGCGACUCUUACUAAGCACUGUUUCAUUCGUACUCGACUGAGCCGCUACCCCACUUUACAGCUUUUGAUGCACUCAUAAGAUCCAGCCGAAUGUUACCCAAAUGACUCCUUGACUCAGUUACCCAAAUGACUCCUUUACUCAGCAGUCACCGAACCUACCUUUGAUUACCAACCGUGAUACAUCCAGCCGAGACAUGUUUGUUACCCCUGCGAAGCUUCCUCACAUAACCGACCAUAUGGCAGGUGCACAGCAUCACGUGUGGCCCCCAAAAACGGCGAACACAAGUCUGGAUACACCUGAUCUGCAGACCUUCAGCUCUUGAAACACUAGCGGUUUCGUCGUUGCUAUGUCUCCAUCAAAGACGACGACACAUUCCUGAAUACGAAUGUUACGCUUGCCUGCCUGCAUUCCUCAGGCCAGCCCCGCGAAAAAGAAAGUCAGUCCAUCCCUGUAAUGAGAAUUUGGUUUCCUUUUCGCAACCUAAGUCCUGCCGCGUGUUUACCUGCUCUAGGGUUGGAUGCAGGUGUAGAUUUGCUGCAGGAGUGAACACAGGCACAGGAACGAGCGGUAGGCCGGUGACUGACGCAGUCCUGCCUGCGCCAAACAUUCGGUGCAUAAAAACAAAAGUUGCCUGAUGUUUUGGACCCUCGUGAAGGGGCUGCUUAUUCAAUCAAGGGACUGGAUGGAGCACCAAUACCUGCAUAUGUCAAUCCCAUGAGUGGACCCGGUGAUCUUACGAGUCAUGGAGAUCUUACGAGGGGCUCCAUUUGGGGUAUGGAAGAGGGUGUUGUCAUAGUCGUGUCCAAGACACCAAUCACACGACUGUCUCAGAAUGUUGGACCGUUCCACGGCCCGCGGACUGCAAACAGCACCCCCCCUGAAGCUGUCGCAACGGUUGUCAGCAGCAGCUUUCACGUGUGGCCUCUUGUUUUGUCUCUGCCGGUCGCGUAUCUCCAGCGCGUCCGCCUGUAAAGUGCAUCUUCCCUGCAUCUUUCUAUUGUCGUCUGCCGAUCUUCGCGGCAUACAAUGGACGUGACGCGACUCUGAGCUUGAAAAGUCCAAUGUAACGUAGGCUGUGAGACAUGAUAGCGGCGCAGGAUAUGCCAGGGCGUUACAGGGGUGCUAAGGGGCAGACCUGGCUGACAUUGAGAGUGUAUUUGCAACUUGCUUCUUGUUUUGGUGGCUGCUAAUGUCACCAACAUGCAGGGCACGGUGCUUACUCACACCCUACAGCUACUGCUUACACACUCACCGCGACCAAGCUCAGUCCUACAUGAUAGACUGUCGCUCACGAUUGACAGCUACAUGACCUGCGCCGCCACACGCGAAAACGCGAUCUCGCAAAUCCCCGAUCGUCACAGGAUCUCCAUUUUCAGAUCAACUGAUCGGCGACAGGGGCUCGGAUCGGCGGUAGGGUAAGCUUUCUGUGAGAGAGGAGGAAGAAGAUCAUCAGUGGUGAUAGUGGGUGGUAGUAUGGUGGCUAAGGACUGAUUGAUUGGUGAUUUCGCCGCGGUUUUUUCGACACUUUUGGUGAUGGCGAUGUUUGAUAAGGGCAGUAUGUAGGUCGGUGAGACAAGGCUGUGUGGACAAGGGUGGGUCAUAGAGUACAGCACCCAAGUACAAGUAGUACAAGUACCUGCUUGUCGCCAAGCACUAAACUUUGCUUAGUCUUGGAAGGGGUGAAUGGUGGCCAGGAGAAGCCAUUAGUGCGGUAGGAGGUCCUUGUUGGAGCUGGUUCGAUAUGGCAUGCUUGUGAAAGACCCAAAACGAUAGAUCCAAAAGCGGCCUGGGGACUAGACUCCCGCCAUUAGACCAAAUAACUUG
rnacentral:misc_RNA from 1 species